GAGAGGUUGAGUGUUCUGCCCAGGGUCACACAGCUAAAAUCACUGGUCAAGUAGCUUCCACAGAGCCAUCGUUUUUUCCUGGGGUGUUCAAGUCAGGAUAAGAGAAUCUCUCCAAAGGCGAUCAGGAACAUCCAUCCCUAGGAUGUCAGCUCAUGGGACUUAGGCCACUGACUGUUGCUUCCUACCCCAAAAGAAAAGUAUUAAUAAGAACCAUAAAAACCUACCAGAGACUCCAGGUAUCAACUUGUUCCUGGGUCCUGACUAGGACAGACUGCUGAGAUCCUGCCCUUGGGAAGUCAAGUAUCCCAUGUUCACUUGGAAGCAGUGAUGAUGGAUGGAGGCUUGCCAGAAUGCCACCUUGGAGGGAGAUGUGUGGCUUCUGGCUGGACUGACACUGGUGAUAAGACAUGCUCACGAGAACUCCGAGAAUAAUUCUGACCACAGGA